rnacentral:rRNA from 1 species
GACGAACGCUGGCGGCAUGCCUAAUACAUGCAAGUCGAGCGAGCAGAUGAAGUGCUUGCACUUCUGACGUUAGCGGCGAACGGGUGAGUAACACGUAAGGAAUCUACCUAUAAGCGGGGGAUAACAUUCGGAAACGGGUGCUAAUACCGCAUAAUAUCUUCUUCCGCAUGGAAGAAGAUUGAAAGACGGCUCUGCUGUCACUUAUAGAUGACCUUGCGGUGCAUUAGUUAGUUGGUGGGGUAACGGCCUACCAAGACGAUGAUGCAUAGCCGACCUGAGAGGGUGAUCGGCCACAUUGGGACUGAGACACGGCCCAAACUCCUACGGGAGGCAGCAGUAGGGAAUCUUCCGCAAUGGGCGAAAGCCUGACGGAGCAAUGCCGCGUGAGUGGAGAAGGCCUUCGGGUCGUAAAACUCUGUUAUAAGAGAAGAACAAAUUGUAGAGUAACUGCUACAGUCUUGACGGUAUCUUAUCAGAAAGCCACGGCUAACUACGUGCCAGCCGCCGCGGUAA